UGCCUGUGCAUCCUCACACCAGUCUCCUUGCCUUAAAAAGCAGAGACAAUGCUUUGCUUGCAUACUUGAGGUUUUAGAUAGCACUCUGCUGGUUGCAAAGCAAGGACCGUGGCCCUCAGCAAUAAACGCUGGGCUUGUGUGCUGUUAGAUAGUCUAUUAUCCCCAAAACAAGGACCUGGCUGGUCUGGUGGUCUGCUUUGUAAUUCACAUAUCUAAAAAUGUAUCUUGUUCCCCUCACCCCAUGACUUCCCUAAAGAUACACUAAUCUUUUGUACUCAAUGUGGAUUUUACAAUCUCUGCCUCAUCCCGUCUUUCCCGAAGUUCCUCCUUACUAUCUCACAACUGUUGAUGAAUUUUUCCUUUGAUUAUACACAAUAAAUAUGGGAGCAUUUGAGAGGCUCGUGGAGUUGGCUCCCUACUCCCUCUCGAUUUCUUGACUUUUUACACAGAGUCUUGAAUAAUCAUUCCGUGCUGGUAAGACUUCUGCCAGCCAGAUGCCACAGUUCCAGGUGAGAAGUAUGCAGGCUUUAUCUUUCCUACCCGAGGGAGAGAGAGGAGAGAAUUGAGAUAUGCUCCCCCGUGGUCCCUUCCUGCCCCAGGGCCACUGCAGUUCACCUGAAGCCUUCUGACCUCUGCUCAGAGGGCCUCUGUCCCAGGACUGACUGCAGCCUUUUCUUCCAUUGUCAACAUUUCCUUUCAGAAGUAGGUCUCUUCUCUGCAAUUGAACCCUGGCAGAUGUGAUGGUGGUCAGCGUACUGGUGGGCAGUCAUUUGGGGACUCCCAGGAGCCAUGCUGAUUCUCCUGAGUCUCUCAAUCGGGGUUACAGAACAGUCGAGAACCGAAGGAAGCCCAUUCACGUGAGGAAGCCCCGUAUGCAUAAGCAGAUAUUUCCAUCUUCCCCAUCCUCCCCCAGCCCUAAUGAGCCACUCUUCUCUCUCUGUGGAUUUGCCUGUACUGGACAUUUCAUUUAAAUCGAGUCACUUCAUGUAAGUGGAACCGUCUAUUGUGACUGACUUCUUUCACAUUGAGUAACGUUUUCAAUGUUUGUCCACGUUGUGGCCUGGGUCAGUACUCUAUGCUUUGCUAUUGCUGAAUAAUAUUCCACUGUAUGGCUGGGCCCCACUGUUUACCCAUUCAUCAGGUGAUAGGCAUUUGGGUUGUUUCUGCUUUUUGGCUGUGAUGAGUAGUGUCGCCGCGAACAUUCCUUUAGGAGUUUUUAUGUGGACAUUUGUUUUCAGUUCUCUUACGUGUGUGCCCAGACAGCAGAAUUGCUGGGUCAUUCAGAAACCAAAUGUUCAACUCCCUGAGGACCUGCCAGGCUGUUUACCAAAGUGGCCACGCUGUGUUACGUCCUCACCAGCAACUGCUGCCUGCUCCGCUUCAUCUGUGUCCUCAU